CCUACGGGAGGCAGCAGUGGGGAAUAUUGGGCAAUGGGCGCAAGCCUGACCCAGCAACGCCGCGUGAAGGAAGAAGGCUUUCGGGUUGUAAACUUCUUUUAAGAGGGAAGAGCAGAAGACGGUACCUCUUGAAUAAGCCACGGCUAACUACGUGCCAGCAGCCGCGGUAAAACGUAGGUGGCAAGCGUUGUCCGGAUUUACUGGGUGUAAAGGGCGUGCAGCCGGGAAGACAAGUCAGAUGUGAAAUCCCGCGGCUCAACCGCGGAACUGCAUUUGAAACUGUUUUUCUUGAGUACCGGAGAGGUCAUCGGAAUUCCUUGUGUAGCGGUGAAAUGCGUAGAUAGAAGGAAGAACACCAGUGGCGAAGGCGGAUGGCUGGACGGCAACUGACGGUGAGGCGCGAAAGCGUGGGGAGCAAACAGGAUUAGAUACCCGUGUAGUC
rnacentral:rRNA from 1 species